GCGAAACGACAAUGGCGGACACCCACCUGUACGGGAGUUUUAUUGAGGUUUAUUUUGAAAUCGGCCUAAACACAAAGACAUUCAAGCAGUGCUUAACAAGAGGCACAGUUUUCACAUAAACGAUACUGCUUUUCGAGCAAGCUGGUUCCAGUGCAAGUUCGGAGCCAGUGUCUGACUGAGCACCAGUUCCUUGUGUUUCCACCAACUAACCACCGGCUCCUGGGGACGCAGCAGUUAUCGGCCAAAACAAUCCCGCUUUGACCGGCUGCAUUCUGUGAUUCCAGCCGGGGCCCUGAACGUCACAGUCGUGCUGGACUUGAUGCACUUGUGAGUCUGCCAUGCAGACCAACGAUCCUGGUCCUGUUGUCGGCCUUGGAGGAUGAGGUCCAGUUACCAGGAUCACUACUCUGCAGCUCACAGAUCCCAUCCUGCAGCUCAUCCAUGCCGUCCUCCUCUCAACAGACCAAAUCAAGAAAACUAAGCAGGAUGCUACUGUGGAUCUGCUCUUCAGAUUAGCUCUGCUGUGAUUAACAAUCUGCCUUCAUCGCAGUCACAAGCAACGGAGAAGGCAGAUGGUCUUAAGGUUAAUUGUAAGGCAGAGGUCAGCUGUUGCCUGGAUAUCCGGGAUCACGCCACUGGUGGGACACAAUUGUACUGGAUUUCAGCUGAAGGCUGCUGUUCUGUCCAAACUGUCAUUUGUUUUAUAGACUUGCAUUACUGACAUAAAACAUAAUCAACACAAAAA